rnacentral:ncRNA from 2 species
GGAGUAACUAUGACUCUCUUAA